rnacentral:rRNA from 1 species
CAAAAACCAAUCGGUUAUACUUCGGUGUAGCCGUUAAAUUGGUGAAUUCUGAGUAACUACAGCGAACCGCAUGAUCUCGUAUCGGCGGUCUGUCGGUCAAGCAACUGCCUUAUCAGCUUGUUGUUAGGUUAUAUGCCUAACAAGGCGUCAACGGGUAACGAACGAUUGGGGUCUGACAUCGGAGAGGGAGCCUGAGAAACGGCUACCACAUCUAAGGAAGGCAGCAGGCGCGCAAAUUACCCACUCCCGGCACGGGGAGGUAGUGACGAGAAAUAACGAUGCGGGGCUCAUACGAGUACUCGUAAUCGGAAUGAGAACAGUUUAAAUCCUUUAACGAGGAACUAUUGGAGGGCAAGUCUGGUGCCAGCAGCCGCGGUAAUUCCAGCUCCAAUAGCGUAUAUUAAAGUUGUUGCAGUUAAAAAGCUCGUAGUUGGAUUUGUGGGUGGAUUUGUUGGCCCGACGCUUUGCGUGGGUGCCGUACAGGUCCGUCCAUCCUUGGGUGGAAUCUGCGUGGCAUUAAGUUGUCGUGCAGGGGAUGCCCAUCUUUUACUGUGAAAAAAUUAGAGUGUUCAAAGC